AGUAAAUAGAUACCCAGGUAGUCCACGCCGUAAACGAUGUCGACUUGGAGGUUGUGCCCUUGAGGCGUGGCUUCCGGAGCUAAACGCGUUAAGUCGACCGCCUGGGGAGUACGGCCGCAAGGUUAAAACUCAAAUGAAUUGACGGGGGCCCGCACAAGCGGUGGAGCAUGUGGUUUAAUUCGAUGCAACGCGAAGAACCUUACCUACUCUUGACAUCCAGAGAAUUUAGCAGAGAUGCUUUGGUGCCUUCGGGAACUCUGAGACAGGUGCUGCAUGGCUGUCGUCAGCUCGUGUUGUGAAAUGUUGGGUUAAGUCCCGCAACGAGCGCAACCCUUAUCCUUUGUUGCCAGCGGUUAGGCCGGGAACUCAAAGGAGACUGCCAGUGAUAAACUGGAGGAAGGUGGGGAUGACGUCAAGUCAUCAUGGCCCUUACGAGUAGGGCUACACACGUGCUACAAUGGCGCAUACAAAGAGAAGCGACCUCGCGAGAGCAAGCGGACCUCAUAAAGUGCGUCGUAGUCCGG
rnacentral:rRNA from 1 species